GACGAACGCUGGCGGCGUGCCUAAUACAUGCAAGUAGAACGCUGAAGGAGGAGCUUGCUCUUCUGGAUGAGUUGCGAACGGGUGAGUAACGCGUAGGUAACCUGCCUGGUAGCGGGGGAUAACUAUUGGAAACGAUAGCUAAUACCGCAUAAGAGUAGAUGUUGCAUGACAUUUGCUUAAAAGGUGCAAUUGCAUCACUACCAGAUGGACCUGCGUUGUAUUAGCUAGUUGGUGAGGUAACGGCUCACCAAGGCAACGAUACAUAGCCGACCUGAGAGGGUGAUCGGCCACACUGGGACUGAGACACGGCCCAGACUCCUACGGGAGGCAGCAGUAGGGAAUCUUCGGCAAUGGACGGAAGUCUGACCGAGCAACGCCGCGUGAGUGAAGAAGGUUUUCGGAUCGUAAAGCUCUGUUGUAAGAGAAAAACGAGUGUGAGAGUGGAAAGUUCACACUGUGACGGUAUCUUACCAGAAAGGGACGGCUAACUACGUGCCAGCAGCCGCGGUAAUACGUAUGUCCCGAGCGUUGUCCGGAUUUAUUGGGCGUAAAGCGAGCGCAGGCGGUUAGAUAACUCUGAAAUUAAAGGCUGUGGUCUUAACCAUAGUACGCUUUGGAAACUGUUUAACUUGAGUGCAAGAGGGGAGAGUGGAAUUCCAUGUGUAGCGGUGAAAUGCGUAUAUAUAUGGAGGAACACCGGUGGCGAAAGCGGCUCUCUGGCUUGUAACUGACGCUGAGGCUCGAAAGCGUGGGGAGCAAACAGGAUUAGAUACCCUGGUAGUCCACGCCGUAAACGAUGAGUGCUAGGUGUUAGACCCUUUCCGGGGUUUAGUGCCGCAGCUAACGCAUUAAGCACUCCGCCUGGGGAGUACGACCGCAAGGUUGAAACUCAAAGGAAUUGACGGGGGGCCCGCACAAGCGGUGGAGCAUUGUGGUUCAAUUCUAAGCAACGCGAAGAACCUUAACAGGUCCUGACAUCCCUCUGACCGCUCUAGAGAUAGAGUUUUCCUUCGGGAGCAGAGUUGACAGGUGGUGCAUGGUUGUCGUCAGCUAGUGUCGUGAGAUGUUGGGUUAAGUCCCGCAACGAGCGCAACCCCUACUGUUAGUUGCCAUCAUACAGCUGGGCAGUCUAGGCGAGACUGCCGGUAAUAAACCGGAGGAAGGUGGGGAUGACGUCAAAUCAUCAUGCCCCUUAUGACCUGGGCUACACACGUGCUACAAUGGCUGGUACAACGAGUCGCAAGCCGGUGACGGCAAGCUAAUCUCUUAAAGCCAGUCUCAGUUCGGAUUGUAGGCUGCAACUCGCCCACAUGAAGUCGGAAUCGCUAGUAAUUGCGGAUCAGCACGCCGCGGUGAAUACGUUCCCGGGCCU
rnacentral:rRNA from 1 species